AGGGAAGGCAAUUGCAAUUAGAAUUAAGGAAAUUGGUGCAGACCUGUGUAUCACAGUAAAUAAAUCUUCAGUUGUGCGUGAAGCCACAAACACGUCAUCAUCAUCCUCUGCAAUCCAUUCAGCUGUUUUAUCACUGAUUAAACUUUUUUCUUCGGUGCCUGGUUCCACAGAACUCCCUAGACAUAAAAAACCAAAAGGAAUGACUUUGACC
rnacentral:lncRNA from 1 species